GAUAUUUCUGACAUGAUGGCUGUUCCGAUACUAAGUACUAGUGCCGCAGGAGUGCACAUCUGAGAAAACCCUGUUGUACUCGUACUUAACAUAGGCUCGGCCGAUCUACAACGCUAACUUU
rnacentral:pre_miRNA from 14 species